rnacentral:rRNA from 1 species
UACGUAGGGGGCAAGCGUUGUCCGGAUUUAUUGGGCGUAAAGCGCGUGUAGGCGGCUUUGCAAGUCGGGUGUGAAAUCCCUCAGCUCAACUGAGGAAGUGCGCCCGAAACUGCAGAGCUUGAGUACCGGAGAGGAUGGCGGAAUUCCCCAAGUAGAGGUGAAAUUCGUAGAUAUGGGGAGGAACACCGGUGGCGAAGGCGGCCAUCUGGAUGGAUACUGACGCUGAGACGCGAAAGCGUGGGGAGCAAACAGG